UAAUCAGGAAAGAAAAAGUAAAUACUUGUACCUUUUGUAUGAUGGUUCAAUAAGGUUAUUCUAAUAAUAUUUUAUAACCCGAAGCUGGAUGAGCUAACCUAUUCUGCUUUAAGAGAAAAAGCUUUUACUGUUGCAGCAGUAAGGCUUGAGGUUAGGUUAGAUGUGAAAUGCUUAUCGUGUCCAGGGAUAGCUGGUUUUCCUAGAAAUAAGUGUGAGCUGAAUAUAUGUUUUUAUUGAAAAUGGUUAACCUUUUGGGUAAAUAGAAAAUUUUAAUAAUACUGUAAUUGAAAGACAAUAAGGGAUAAGCUUUAUUGUCGGAGAAGAAAAAGCUUUAGUUAUUAAUAAAGAGUGAUGUAAAACGUACUGGAAGAAUGAUAAAGAGUAGGAUUAAUAGCAUCUAGCUUUGUAGAGGGCGUUAAAGCCCAUUUAUAGAAAUCAAUACGGAUAAUUUUGGGAAAAGUUACUUUAAAUUAUAAUAUAAUUAUAGGAAAAUUCCAUUUGUAUAGUUUGGAAGAUACAAUGUUGGAAUUAGUAGAGGGUUAAAAAUUAGUAUUACUUGUGAAUCAAUCAAUCCUAACUUUGGAUGGAAUAAUCAUUUAUAAUCGGGAAGUGAGUUUAUUUUUAUUGUCUGCUAACACAAGCGAUAUUUAAUAGGUAAAAGUAAGAGAAAGGAAUUCGGCAAAUCAAGAUCUCGCCUGUUUACCAAAAACAUCGCCCUUUGUAAAAAAAUUGAUGUAUAAAGGGUCCUGCCUGCCCAGUGACUAAGUUAAACGGCCGCGGUAUCUUGACCGUGCAAAGGUAGCAUAAUCAUUUGCCUUUUAAAUGGGGGCUGGAAUGAAUGGCAAGACGGGGAUCUAGCUGUCUCUCUCUUAUACCUCGAAGUUAAUGUUUUCGUGAAGAAGCGAAAAUAAAGUCGCAGGACGAGAAGACCCUAUCGAGCUUAAGUAGAAAUUGGAUGCGGCAUGUAUAGUGAUAAUUCCGUUGCUAAUUAUUCAUUAUAAUGAUUUUUAUUUUACAAGCGGAGUGACAGUGUAGCGCAUUUAUGCUUAGGUUGGGGCAACCGCGGAGAAUAGUUAUCCUCCGCUAUAGUAAGCAAGGUAAAGAAACCUCUUUCCCACAUAGAAUUAAUUGGAAAUGAUCCACUUUUAGGGGUGAACAAAGGAAUAAGUUACCGUAGGGAUAACAGCGUAAUUUUUUUGGAGAGUUCAUAUUGAUAAGAAAGUUUGCGACCUCGAUGUUGGAUCGGGAUUUCCUGGGGAUGCAGCAGUUCCCAA
rnacentral:rRNA from 1 species